rnacentral:tRNA from 1 species
GCCCUCGUAGCUCAGUUGGAUAGAGCACCGGACUUCUAAUCCGAUGGUCGCAGGUUCGAAUCCUGCCGAGGGCGCCA